GGCAAAGAAAGGCUUGGCAACAUUGCAGUACCUGCAAACAAUGCUGCAUUUUGAUUCUCGUGAGUGACACCUCUCAGCUGGAGAGGGACCUUUCCUCAGAGUGCCUCCUGCUAGAAAGUCAGUAUCCCCAAAGGCUUCAGAGGUAACAUAGCUCAACAGUGUUCAUGAAGAAACAGGAGAAGGGGGUGGAGAGAGGAAAGGAAGGCAGCCCUGGACAGGGAGGAAAGAGUAUCUUCACAAGGGCAAACUAGCUAAUAUAGUAUCUACUUCAUCCUUAUGAGAAAGAGCCAGAGCAUUGUCUACCAAUUCCAGGUGAAUGAGCACUAGUGAUGGACAGACCCAGUGAUGACUUUGUGAGUUUUGAGCUAUCAGAGACCUGGAGAGAACUGGAAUUCACAGCAGAGUCUGCGAGGAGCUAGAGACAGCUGAGCCCAGCAAAGAAUCUAGUGACAAGACUAGGAAGCAGAACAGUGAACCCAACAGUGAAGUGGCUUAAGAGCCAUAUUUUGCAAUCAAGGAAACAACUCAUCCAUCAGCUAUGCCACACCAGAAGUGAACUUACGAAGAAUGUUUAUAGCAACCACUUUUAAAUUUGAAGGUGUUCUACCUAGACGCUAAGGUAGUAGAAAAGAAUGUGCUCACAGCUGGAGCAGAGGCAGUUGCG